UAUCACCCUGUAACCCAAGACGGGUCGCCCACUGAACCUAAGCAGCGCUGAACCUGGUCAGUACCUGGAUGGGAGACCUCCUGGGAAAACUAG
rnacentral:rRNA from 1 species